UACGGAGGGUGCAAGCGUUAUCCGGAUUCACUGGGUUUAAAGGGUGCGUAGGAGGGCAGGUAAGUCAGUGGUGAAAUCUCCAAGCUUAACUUGGAAACUGCCGUUGAUACUAUCUGUCUUGAAUACCGUGGAGGUGAGCGGAAUAUGUCAUGUAGCGGUGAAAUGCUUAGAUAUGACAUAGAACACCAAUUGCGAAGGCAGCUCGCUACACAAUUAUUGACUCUGAGGCACGAAAGCGUGGGGAUCAAACAGG
rnacentral:rRNA from 1 species